AUCGCUUCUCGGCCUUUUGGCUAAGAUCAAGUGUAAAAGUUCUAACUAUGGCUUCAUUUUAAAUUAGCUAAAAACAUUCAUUGUUGUUUUGGUUUUUGAGACAGUCUCACAAUAUAGUUCCCUAGCUGUCUUUGAACUCAUGAACUUUCCAUUUCAGCCUUUUGAGUGCCAAGAUAA
rnacentral:snRNA from 1 species